CGUUUAUUUUAAAAUAAAAUCUAACUCACUCAUAAAUCUUCUGACAUAAGAACAGUCCCAAAAUAAAUGGUCAAGAGUUUCUGGGUCACAACCACAAAAUAAACUUUUGUUAUCAAUAGCUAUUUUGAAUCUGUGUUUAAUAAAGGUCUUUACAGGGUAGAUUCUAUGAAUGGGUUUGUAUGAUACUUCUUUGACCUUAUUAGAUAUAAAAACUCAGCAAAAAAAGAACCGUCCUCUCACUGUCAACUGUGUUUAUUUUCAGCAAACUUAACAUGUGUAAAUAUUUGUAUGAACAUAAUAUUCAACAACUGAGACAUAAACUGAACAAGUUCCACAGACAUGUGACUGACAGAAAUGGAAUGAUGUGUCCCUGCACAGGGGGGGGGUCAAAAGUAACAGUCAGUAUCUGGUGUGGACACCAGCUGCAUUAAGUACUGCAGUGCAUCUCCUCAUGGACUGCACCAGAUUUUCCAGUUCUUGCUGUGAGAUGUCACCCUACUCUUCCACCAAGGCACCUGCAAGUUCCCGGACAUUUCUGGGGGGAAUGGCCCUAGCCCUCACCCUCCGAUCCAACAGGUCCCAGACGUGCUCAAUGGGAUUGAGAUUCGGGCUCUUCGCUGGUCAUGGCAGAACACUGACAUUCCUGUCUUGCAGGAAAUCACGCACAGAAUGAGCAGUAUGGCCGGUGGCAUUUUCAUGCUGGAGGGUCAUGUCAGGAUGAGCCUGCAGGAAGGGUACCACAUGAGAGAGGAGGAUGUCUUCCCUGUAACGCACAGCAUUGAGAUUGCCUGCAAUGUCAACAAGCUCAGUCCGAUGAUGCUGUGACACACUGCCCCAGACCAUGACGGACCCUCCACCUCCAAAUCGAUCCCACUCCAGAGUACAAGCCCCGGCGUAAUGCUCAUUCUUUUGACGAUAAAAGCAAUCCGACCAUCACCCCUGGUGAGACAAAACCUCAACUCGUCAGUGAAGAGCACUUUUUGCCAGUCCUGUCUCGUCCAGCGACGAUGGGUUUGUGCCCAUAGGUGACAUUGUUGCCUGUGAUGUCUGGUGAGGACCUGCCUUACAACAGGCCAACAAGCCCUCAGUCCAGCCUCUCAGCCUAUUGUGGACAGUCUGAGCACUGAUGGAGGGAUUGUGCGUUCCUGGUGUAACUUGGGCAGUUGUUGUUGCCAUCCUAUACCUGUCCCGCAGGUGUGAUGUUCGGAUGUACCGAUCCUGUGCAGGUGUUGUUACACGUGGUCUGCCACUAUGAGGACGAUCAGCUGUCCGUCCUGUCUCCCUGUAGCGCUGUCUUAGGCAUCUCACAGUACGGACAUUGCAAUUUAUUGCCCUGGCCACAUUUGCAGUCCUCAUGCUUCCUUGCAGCAUGUCUAAGGCACGCUCACGCAGAUGAGCAGGGACCCUGGGCAUCUUUCUUUUGGUGUUUUUCAGAGUCAGUAGAAAGACCUCUUUAGUGUCCUAAGUUUUCAUAACUGUGACCCUUAAUUGCCUACCGUCUGUGAGCUGUUAGUGUCUUAACGACCGUUCCAUGGGUGCAUGUUCAUUAACUGUUUAUGGUUCAUUGAACAAGCAUGGGAAACAGUGUUUAAACCCUUUACAAUGAAGAUCUGUGAAGUUAUUUGGAUUUUUACGAAUUAUCUUUGAAAGACAGGGUCCUGAAAAAAUAACUUUUUUUGUUGCUGAGUUUACUAUCCUUAGGAACCGCAUAGCAUUACAGCAAUAGGUACUACCGGUAUGUUAGCUAGCUACCUCGUUAGUUGGCUACUAAUACAUUGAACUUGCCAGUAUAUUAACUAUAUGCUAUCUAACUACCCAACAUUUAUUGACUUGAUUAUUCAGGUCAUUCUUAGUUAAGUGGUAUAUUAGUUGGUGUGCGUUCUCAAUGGACAUAAAUUCGCUCUGGCUAUCUACUCCGAAUUCAGAGCGCUCUCGUCUGUGUGUGCCAGAGCGCAGAAUAACUUAUGAAUUUACGAACGCUCAACACCCGUUUAAUAUGGCCGGUGUAAGUAAACGUCGGUAAAAAAAAAAAAAAGCCUAAUUAAAUUGUUGCCAGCAGCACAGUUACCAACGCUCUGGAUAACAUGAAAACAGCCUAACCAGCUCUGCUAUACAUGGCGAGUAAAAAUGGUCAGAGUGAGGUGUUCUCUCAUUUGUAUCUGGAAGUAGCUAGCCAGUUAGCUUGACUGCAGCACCGCUGUGAUGUUCAGAACGCUCGGCUCAACCCUACUAUACUCCUCCGCCAGUGUGCGUUCUGAACGCUGCGAGAGGGGAAACGCUCAGAAUUUACGAAUGGACAAUCUGACAACGCUCUGAAUUUAAGAAAGCACAGAGCGCACUCUGCCACUCCAUUUUGAAUAUACGAACACAAAAAUGUCAAGCUAGUAAUUUGUUACGCUAGCAAGACGUUGCAUAGCAACAUAAUCAACUUCCGGUAGAUAGGCGUAGCGCUAGUAUGCUCAACUGAAAGGAUAACCUUCGUUUCCAUAAUACUAAAAUGAACUAAUGGCAUGUAGUAUAUACUCAUUAAGUAUACAGUAUGUUAGUAUGGGUAUUCGAACACAGCCCAUGAUUUAUGAAAUCUACAUAUCCCAGAAUGUAUGAGCGUCCAACAGUGAUGACGUAAUUUCAGUGUAUAAAUAACCGAUCGAACGCUAGUAGCGCUCUUCUUGGAGACGGUGCCAUCUGGUAGAAACACUCCUCCACGACAUGAGGGCCAAGGUACAUUUUUAUCCCGUCGAAACGUUUGAUUUGUUGGCAUCUUGUUGCUAUACUUGUUAGCUUUAAGUCACUUGGCUAGCUAGCCUGCUAACUUAACUGCGACAUAACUGCACACAUUUGAAAUGUAGCUAGCCACCUACUACAUAUUUUAAAUUAAUUGAUUAUCUAGUUCGGUGCAUAGGCUUGUAGUAAUUUCUAAUACAAUUAAAAAUGGUUGACGUUUGAAUACUUAGGGCUUCUGCAAUUAAGUGUUUUGUCAUUCUACGAUAGACUACUAGUCACAUACACAUGGUUGGCAUAUGUUAUUGGCGAGUGUAGCGAAAUGUUUGUGCUUCUAUUCCCGACAGUGCAGUAAUACCUAACAAUUCCACACCUACCUAAAUCACCCAAAUCUAAGUAAAAUAAUGGAAUAAGAAUUUAUAGAUGAGUAAUGACAGGGUGGUAUAGGCAUGAUGCAAUAGAUGGUAUAAAGUGCAUAUACAUAUGAGAUGACUAAUACAGUAAAUGUUUACAUAUCUUACAUGUGACCAAUACAAUGUGAUUUAUUAAAUUGACUAAUGAUCCAUUUAUUAGUGGCCAAUUCAAGUCUGUUGGCAGCAGCCUCUGUUAGUGAUGGCUGUUUAAGUCUGUUGGACUUGAGAGGAGCUGUUUUUCAGUCACUCUGUCCCAGCUUUGAUGCACCUGUACUGACCUCACGCAUAGUAGCUGGUGAACAGGCACUGGCUGUGUUUGUUGUCCUUGAUGAUCUUUUUGGCAAGAGGCAUCAUUACAGAUCCUAGUUAAAUUCCAGGCUGGCAGACCACUCACUCAAUCAGCUCUUAUUCUCCCCCACUUCACAGUAGAAGCCUCAAACAAGGUUCAAAAGACUGUUGACAUCUAGUGGAAGCCUUAGGAAGUGCAAUAUGACCCCACAGACACUAUAUUGGAUAGGCCAAGACUUGAAAAACUACAAACCUCAGAUUUCCCACUUCGUGUUUUUUUUUUCUCUCAGGUUUUUGCCUGCCAUAUGAGUUCUGUUAUACUCACAGACAUCAUUCAAACAAUUUUAGAAACUUCAGUGUUUUCUAUCCAAAUCUACAAAUAAUAUGCAUAUCUUAGCUUCAGGGCCUGAGUAGCACAGUUUACUCUGGGCACCUUAUUCAUCCAAGCUACUCAAUACUGCCACCCAGCCAUAAGAAGUUAAGUUCUUUCUAAGGGAGUAUGCGAGCGCACUCGUUUGUAUAGCCAAAGCCUUAACGUUAGUUAUGUUGGCCAAUGGAACUAACUAGCCAAGUAGCUAACUGCAGACAAACCAUAGAAAUAGACUCACCAAGUAAUCUAAUUCUGUAGUCAACAUGUGGACAUGUCUUGUUGCGUAUCACAUGUCCUGGCUCAUUGCUGUAGGCAACUAUUGUGCAAUUGUAGCUAGCUUGUUGACAUAUUUUCAGUCACAGUCCCUUAUUAUGUGGAGGAUGGAAAUAUCCCUUCUAGACCUGAGCAUAUGUUGGUAGAACUGUAUUGACAGCAAUUUGCUCUAAAUGCCAGAUGGGUGUUGCCAACCAAGCUUCUGAAAUUGAUCAGGGUGCAGUGAUUUGUUCUAGCAAACUUAAACAGUUUGUCAAUAUGUAUAAGUAGCUAAUGGUACAUCUAACAUCGGCCCCUCUGUUCUCUCUUCCAGUGGAGAAAGAAGCGUAUGCGCAGGCUGAAGCGCAAGAGGCGAAAGAUGAGGCAGAGGUCCAAGUAGACUGCCUCCCCCUACAACACCAUGGCUGUGACCCUUCUGGACACAACACGGGACCAAGGAUCUCAUGUGCAAAGUCUGAUCAGAGCUGUGCCAUCAUUGCCAAUGAGAGGCUGCAAAGAGACAGUUCUACUGUUGUCUUGGUCAAGAGACUCCACCACCUGCCUGGGAAAUUUGAUAUGGGGACAUUCUGGAUUCUCUACUCUUCUACCAAACCUACCCUACUCCAUUGCUUUUGUUUAUAAUUUCCAAUAAAGUUUUUGGUUUAAAGUUGUCUUUGUUGCUUCUGAAACACGGUCCAGAAUGUAAUUCCUAUCAUACUGCA
rnacentral:lncRNA from 1 species